GCAAUCCUCUGCUGACUUUGCUACGCUCUAUGAGGUAUGAGCCAUCCGAGGAGCUCCGAGUGGACAUGUAUAAGGAAGUUAUUUUUAGACGCUAUUAAUAUUUCGUACUCAUUUCAAUGAAAGCUGUGGAUCAAACUCCUUAACCAAAUAGUAUGGAUUUAGAUGCUUCAACACCUUUGCAAAAACUCGUUGAGAUCAUCAUAAAGGGCAAUUUGAGAGAGAGGGAAGUUAAAGUGAGAGAUAAACUCUGGCCAUGCGGCAUAUCGCUGGAAGGUGCAAUAAUGUCUCUUAUAAAGUCAGCUUUCAUGAAAACCCACGAGAGGGCACACGAUCUCUCAUGGUCACAAAAUAUUCUUUCUUUGUGGAAAUAUCCUGGACAUUCCGCUUCA